rnacentral:rRNA from 1 species
AGGGUUUGAUUAUGGCUCAGGAUGAACGCUAGCGGGAGGCUUAACACAUGCAAGUCGAGGGGUAAGGUUCUCUUCGGAGAAUACACGACCGGCGCACGGGUGAGUAACGCGUAUGUAACCUACCUAUAACACAAGGAUAGCUCCCGGAAACGGGAAUUAAUACUUGAUGACAUUCACAGAUGGCAUCAUCAAUGAAUCAAAGUUCCGGCGGUUAUAGAUGGGCAUGCGUGACAUUAGCUAGUUGGUGAGGUAACGGCUCACCAAGGCGACGAUGUCUAGGGGGUCUGAGAGGAUGAUCCCCCACACUGGUACUGAGACACGGACCAGACUCCUACGGGAGGCAGCAGUGAGGAAUAUUGCGCAAUGGAGGAAACUCUGACGCAGCCAUCCCGCGUGCAGGAUUGACGGCCCUAUGGGUUGUAAACUGCUUUUCUAUACCAAGAACUACAUCUACGUGUAGGUGUUUGCCGGUAGUAUAGGAAUAAGCAUCGGCUAACUCCGUGCCAGCAGCCGCGGUAAUACGGAGGAUGCAAGCGUUAUCCGGAAUCACUGGGUUUAAAGGGUGCGCAGGCGGAAUAGUAAGUCAGAGGUGAAAGCCCACAGCUCAACUGUGGAAUUGCCUUUGAUACUGUUAUUCUUGAGUGUAGUUGAAGUAGGCGGAAUAUAGCAUGUAGCGGUGAAAUGCAUAGAUAUGCUAUAGAACACCAAUUGCGAAGGCAGCUUGCUAAACUAUAACUGACGCUGAGGCACGAAAGCGUGGGGAGCGAACAGGAUUAGAUACCCUGGUAGUCCACGCCGUAAACGAUGAACACUCGCUGUUGGCAAUACACCGUCAGCGGCUGAGCGAAAGCGUUAAGUGUUCCACCUGGGAAGUACGAUCGCAAGGUUGAAACUCAAAGGAAUUGACGGGGGCCCGCACAAGCGGAGGAGCAUGUGGUUUAAUUCGAUGAUACGCGAGGAACCUUACCUGGGCUUAAAUGUAUAUUGACGUACUGAGAAAUCAGUAUUUCUUCGGACAAUUUACAAGGUGCUGCAUGGUUGUCGUCAGCUCGUGCCGUGAGGUGUCGGGUUAAGUCCCAUAACGAGCGCAACCCCUACUUCUAGUUACCAGCAUUUCGGAUGGGGACUCUAGAGGAACUGCCUACGCAAGUAGAGAGGAAGGUGGGGAUGACGUCAAAUCAGCACGGCCCUUAUGUCCAGGGCUACACACGUGCUACAAUGGCCGGUACAGAGGGCAGCUACAUAGCAAUAUGAUGCUAAUCUCAAAAGCCGGUCUCAGUCCGGAUUGGAGUCUGCAACUCGACUCCAUGAAGCUGGAUUCGCUAGUAAUCGCACAUCAGCCAUGGUGCGGUGAAUACGUUCCCGGGCCUUGUACACACCGCCCGUCAAGCCAUGGAAGUUGGGGGUACCUGAAGUCGAUUGCCGCAAGGCGUUGCCUAGGGUAAAACCAAUGACUGGGGCUAAGUCGUAACAAGGUAGCC